GUGGGGAAUAUUGGACAAUGGGCGCAAGCCUGAUCCAGCCAUGCCGCGUGAGUGAUGAAGGCCCUAGGGUUGUAAAGCUCUUUCACCGGAGAAGAUAAUGACGGUAUCCGGAGAAGAAGCCCCGGCUAACUUCGUGCCAGCAGCCGCGGUAAUACGAAGGGGGCUCGCGUUGUUCGGAAUUACUGGGCGUAAAGCGCACGUAGGCGGACAUUUAAGUCAGGGGUGAAAUCCCGGGGCUCAACCCCGGAACUGCCUUUGUUACUGGGUGGCUGGAGUAUGGAAGAGGUAAGUGGAAUUCCGAGUGUAGAGGUGAAAUUCGUAGAUAUUCGGAGGAACACCAGUGGCGAAGGCGGCUUACUGGUCCAUUACUGACGCUGAGGUGCGAAAGCGUGGGGAGCAAACAGGAUUAGAAACCCGGGUAGUCC
rnacentral:rRNA from 1 species